UGAAGACUGGUGAUUCCACUCCUGUAACUUUACCUCAGCAAAGCAAAGUUGACAUGUAGGUGAAUGAAGGCACUGAGCAGGCUGUGGCUGGGACCAGAGAGAGGGACCAGCCUGGCAACACUGAGGUCCACCCCCAGGAACCCAGAGGAUGGAAAGGCAGAACUGAAUUCUCUAAGUUGUCCUCUGGCCUCCAUGUGUGAACUGUGACAUGUGUACAUGUGCAUGCACACACGCACACACAUACAUAUACAGACAUAAUAUAUCUAAAAUGUAAAACAGAGAAGGCUGCUACUUGGUUUACAUAAGAAAUUUCAAUUGUAAGAUUGUCUUCGACAUGCAUGUUUUGUAGACAUCAAAUUAUUUUAAAAAGAUUAUUUUCUUUUACGGGUGUUUUUGACUGCAUGCAUGUCUGUGUACCUUGCGCUUGUGUGGUAUACAAAGAAACCAGAAAAAUGCACAGGAUCUGAAAAAGCAGUCACUACUUUUAACCAUUAAGCCACCUCCUACCCAUUUAUUUAUUCAUUUGUUUAUCUUAUUUUGAGACAGGGUCUUACUAUGUCCUGGAACUCACUCUGUAGAGCACGUUGGCCUUGAACUCAGAGAUCCACCUGGCCUCUGCCUCCCAGGUUCUAGUGCUGGGAUCAAAGGUGUAUACUACCACUGUCUGGUAAUGUGUUUAGUUUUAAAAAAUAUUCUAUUUUUAUUUGUGUAUGUGUGUCUAAGCAUGGGCACAUGUGAGCACAGGUAUUCACAAUGGCCAGAAGGGGAUGUCAGAUCCACUGAAGUUGAAGCCACAGGCAUCGUGAGCAGCCCAAGGUGGGUGGAAGAGAACCAAACGUUAGUGCUCUGCAAGAGCAGCCAGUGCCCUUAAAUACUGGGCCAUCUCUCUAACCCUGACAUUUAAUGCUUAACUUGUUUCAGUGGCCAACGAUAGGGAUAUUUUCAUGGCUAAAUUUGAAAAGAGCAUUGCAAAGGUAAAACUAAAGCUUCCAGACUUUCCUUUUUAAAAAUAAAAGCAAGAAUAAUCUGCUCUGUAGGUCGGUUGUAUUCCUUUUCGCUGAAGAUUAAGAAUUCAUCAUUCCUUAAGUCAAUAUUUUUAAGAAUUCUGAAUCACUUUAUGUAAGAAAGAAACGGACUGUGUAACUAUGACUCAACCUAGAAGUCAUCAAGGUGGAAAUAGCUUUGAAAGAAUUCUGAAGUAUUCCAGAAUUUUCUUUUAAAAGAAAAUACUAGGAUUGUACAUUAAGAAGGCAGGUCCUCCACCUCCUUCCGUAUCCACCACUUGGCUGAGAAUGUUCCAAUAUUUUUUAGUAGCGCCCAUAAUCUUCACUUCCUAACCCUGAAUUGAAAGGUUAUACUCAUUCUCGUGGUUAAAAGAAUCCUCCAGGCAAGCCAAUACAUCAAUAAAAUUCCUUUUUAAUAAUGUC
rnacentral:lncRNA from 1 species